rnacentral:lncRNA from 1 species
GACGAUAAAGCGUGUACACACCCCUUGCCCCCCUGUGGUUUUACCUACGUGACCAUGGAGAGGACAUGAGAAAAUGGGAUAGAAAAUCUACCUCAACCCUAGACGCACAGGUGGACAGUUCUAAAUCAUUCAGUAAAGUAACCUCACCAUUACUUCACCACAGUGUGAAACGUUGUGUGAGAUCAGCAAGAGAUUCUCUUAAAUGCUGCAUGAACCAAGGUAUUUAUAUUUUGCUUCUGGUAACAAUAGAACAUGUCAAGUAACAAUGUUGAUAUUACUACCUACCUCAAACAAAUAUUUUUAAAAAAUAUGUGCAGUAUUUUGCUGUUUUUCAGUUCAGAUGAACUGUUCACAGAAGAAAGCGCUGUUUGAGACAGACAAGUAGCAAUACCUGGCUUGAUGUGGUAGAAUAUGAAUAUGUAGGAGGAAGUUCCAGAAAGUGAUUUUGCCCUUCUUAUGUGACGUAUGCCUCUGGUCUUGAAGUCAUUUCAAGAAAAGAGGAUCUUUCUGUGUUUGUUCUUCACUGAUGUUGUCUUUCUUUCUCCAAUUAUUUGUUGUUUCAGUACACUUUUAAAGGUCCUGAACCUUUAAAGGUCCUCAUACAAAGUCCACUCAUGUGAAUUGAAAUACUUAAGGGGGUUUGGAUGAAUCCCUGCAUCAAUAUGACAUUGUAUGAAUUUUCAUGCAUCAUCUGUUCUGCACCCUUAUCUUACGCAAACUAUUCAUAGUCUAAUCAGCACAUUGGGAAAUGACAAAAAAGUCAUAAAAUCCAAGAAAAUCUUUGCAUUUCUGUUCUGGGAAAUAAUUUGAUAGAAAUAAGUCCUUCUUCUUCAUGUAUAUUUAUUCAGAAUAUCCAGAAAUCUAAGAAGCGUUGUCUAAUGAAGGUAAUUUCACAGGAGUAGUUCCUCCACAUGAAAAGACAGUAACACAAGUACGUAACGUAACUGAAAUCAAAAGAGCGUUUUCCUGUAAGAAACAAUUGGCAUGUUUUCUUUUCUGCCUUUAUGCUAAUCUAUUGAACACAAACCUAAGAUUAAUUCCUAAUAAUAGUCACUAAAACACUUAAAAAAAUAUUUUUUUUAGCUUUAUCUUUUGAUAACUGUGAAGCAUCAAAUACCUCAGUUAAGGUAAUGAAAGGCUAACAAGUGGAAAAUCAUGUCUCUUCUGCUACCAAUUUAAUCUAUGAAUUCUAAUGAAACAAUUCCACGAGGAGGGCUGAUGAUUCAGAAGAUAGUAAUGAGUAAUGAUAGUUAUCUGUCUUGGACAAAGUGUGAGAGACUUGAUACUUUGGCUUCUGGAAGAUAAAAGCCCCACAGAAACAUGCAAACUUAGAAAGAAUUUUGUCAAAAUCCGUAGUUUUGCAAAAAUAUAAGGAAAGUCUGUAUUAAAGUUUCACUGCCCAGUAUCUGCCCAGCUGUUGUGGUUUAACCCAGCCGGCAGCUAAACACCACACAGCCGUUCGCUCAUCCUCCCCUGUCCCUCUCUGGGAUGGGGGAGAGAAAUGGGAAAGUGAAGCCUGUGAGUUGAGAUAAAGACAGCUUAUUAAGACAGAAAAAUAAUAAUAACAACAAUAAUAAAGACAAUAAUGAUGAUAAUAGUACUAAUAAUAAUAAUGUGUACGAAACAAGUGAUGCACAAUGCAAUUGCUCACCACCCGCUGACCGAUGCCCAGUCUAACCCCGAGCAGUCCGGCCCCCCCACCCUGGCUAGCCACCCCUAUAUAUUAUUUAGCAUGACCCCAUACGGUAUGGAAUACCCCUUUGGCUAGUUUGGGUCAGCUGUUCUGGGUCUGUCCCCUCCCAGCUCCUGCUGCACUCCCAGCCUGAUCCUGCGGUCCUAUACACAGUAUAUAUACUUAAUAGAAUAAUUAGGUUAUUAGCUGUAAUAGAAAUAGUUAUAAAUGAUGAGAACUGCUUUGUAUCAAAAUUGCCUAGCUUUGCAUUAUUUACUAGCACAAGAAGGAGAAGUCUGUGGAAAAUUUAGCUUUAGUAAUUGCUGUUUAAAGAUUGAUAAAAAGGGUAUUUCUUCCUAGUAGCUGAUAGAAUGUUAUGUUCUGGUUUAGGAUGAGAAGAAUGUUGGUGAUAUGCUGAUGUUUUAAUUGUUUUUAAUUGUUACAGAGCAGUGCUUACAUCAAGCCAAGGACCAAGCCAAAUUCAGCUUCUCACUGUCCUGUCAGCAGGCAGGCUGGGAGGAGGGCCGGACUGCUCGGGGUUAGGUUGGGCAUCGGACAGCAGGUGGUGAGCAAUUGCAUUGUGCAUCACUUGUUUCGUACACAUUAUUACUAGUAGUACUAUUAUAAUCAUUAUUGUUAUUAUUAUUAUUGUUAUUAUCUUCUUGUUUUUAUCUCAACUCACAGGCUUCACUUUCCCAUUUCUCUCUCCCAUCCCAGAGAAGGAGAGGGGGGACGUGAGCGAGCAAACA